AGUACUUUGAUUGCAUUUCUGUGGUGUUCCUGUAGGUGACCUUGAAGCAGCCAGACUGAAGCAGCACGUUGUGAAGGUGGACGCCAUCAUCUUGUCUUUGCAGCGCUGAUUCUGAAGAGAACGCCUUCACAUAGGACUCAAAGGAAAUCAAUGCCCAAAGGAAACAGCAGUCCAGACUCUGAUUCCAGCUCCGAAGAUGCCCUCAGAUUCAGAUCCAUCAGCAACCCCUGACAACAUGGAGGACUCGUCCCCUGAGCGUUUCCUGUCCUCUCUCGAUGGAGUUCUUCUCAGC